rnacentral:rRNA from 1 species
GAAACUUUCCAGAGUGGCGCACGGGUGAGUAACGCGUAGGUAAUCUACCCUUAUGACUGGGAUAACAUUGGGAAACUGGUGCUAAUACCGGAUAUCCUUCUUUUCUGCAGGGUAAAGAAGGAAAGGUGGCCUAUUCAUGAAAGCUACCGCAUAGGGAUGAGCCUGCGUACCAUUAGCUAGUAGGUGUGGGUAACGGCCCACCUAGGCAACGAUGGUUAGCGGGUCUGAGAGGAUGAUCCGCCACACUGGAACUGGAACACGGACCAGACUCCUACGGGAGGCAGCAGUGAGGAAUAUUGCGCAAUGGGGGAAACCCUGACGCAGCGACGCCGCGUGAGUGAGGAAGGUCUUCGGAUCGUAAAGCUCUGUCAGAAGGGAAGAAGUGUUAUAUGGUUAACACCCAUAUAAUUUGACGGUACCUUCAGAGGAAGCACCGGCUAACUCCGUGCCAGCAGCCGCGGUAAUACGGAGGGUGCGAGCGUUGUCCGGAAUUACUGGGGCGUAAAGGGCGCGUAAGCGGCUNGAUAAGUCAGGUGUGAAAGUCCAUGGCUCAACCGUGGAAGUGCAUUUGAAACUGUCA